rnacentral:piRNA from 1 species
GGCUCUCCUGUGCCCACUAGCUCACUGC